rnacentral:rRNA from 1 species
AGAGUUUGAUCCUGGCUCAGGAUGAACGCUAGCUACAGGCUUAACACAUGCAAGUCGAGGGGCAUCAGUUUGGUUUGCUUGCAAACCAAAGCUGGCGACCGGCGCACGGGUGAGUAACACGUAUCCAACCUGCCUCAUACUCGGGGAUAGCCUUUCGAAAGAAAGAUUAAUAUCCGAUAGCAUAUAUUUCCCGCAUGGGUUUUAUAUUAAAGAAAUUCGGUAUGAGAUGGGGAUGCGUUCCAUUAGUUUGUUGGGGGGGUAACGGCCCACCAAGACUACGAUGGAUAGGGGUUCUGAGAGGAAGGUCCCCCACAUUGGAACUGAGACACGGUCCAAACUCCUACGGGAGGCAGCAGUGAGGAAUAUUGGUCAAUGGACGAGAGUCUGAACCAGCCAAGUAGCGUGAAGGAUGACUGCCCUAUGGGUUGUAAACUUCUUUUAUAUGGGAAUAAAGUUGUCCACGUGUGGAUUUUUGUAUGUACCAUAUGAAUAAGGAUCGGCUAACUCCGUGCCAGCAGCCGCGGUAAUACGGAGGAUCCGAGCGUUAUCCGGAUUUAUUGGGUUUAAAGGGAGCGUAGGUGGACUGUUAAGUCAGUUGUGAAAGUUUGCGGCUCAACCGUAAAAUUGCAGUUGAUACUGGCUGUCUUGAGUACAGUAGAGGUGGGCGGAAUUCGUGGUGUAGCGGUGAAAUGCUUAGAUAUCACGAAGAACUCCGAUUGCGAAGGCAGCUCACUGGAGUGUAACUGACGCUGAUGCUCGAAAGUGUGGGUAUCAAACAGGAUUAGAUACCCUGGUAGUCCACACAGUAAACGAUGAAUACUCGCUGUUUGCGAUAUACAGUAAGCGGCCAAGCGAAAGCAUUAAGUAUUCCACCUGGGGAGUACGCCGGCAACGGUGAAACUCAAAGGAAUUGACGGGGGCCCGCACAAGCGGAGGAACAUGUGGUUUAAUUCGAUGAUACGCGAGGAACCUUACCCGGGCUUAAAU